UGUUCUGUCUGUGUCCGGAUGUGUCGGCAUUCAACUUUGAUCUUCAAACCCUUAGAUGCUUAAUAUUUCGACGCAUUUAUUACUUUUCAUUCUGAAUCGAGCGUCACGUCGACGAUGCCGGGCAUAUAAUUGACAGCCGAGGAGCGUGAAUCGAUCUGAUCGAUCUUGGCUUGACAAGUGUUUUCAUCUUUAUUCUUCUUUGCUGGUGGCUGGUUCCUGGCAUCUCAUGACUUUUGAUAGCUGGUUCCUGACAUCCCUCAAUUUUUGGAAUUGGUGGAACAGCAUCGACGAAGGAUUUUAUCACAUACCACCAAGAUAAGAAGCACGUCCAUACAAGUUGGAAAAGAAGAAGUGGAUAUUCGAUGGUUUUUCUAAGGGUUGGGAUCAAGUACUGUGUAAACUUUUUACUCUCUCCUCUA